GACGAACGCUGGCGGCGUGCCUAAUACAUGCAAGUUGAGCGCUGAAGGUUGGUACUUGUACCAACUGGAUGAGCAGCGAACGGGUGAGUAACGCGUGGGGAAUCUGCCUUUGAGCGGGGGACAACAUUUGGAAACGAAUGCUAAUACCGCAUAAAAACUUUAAACACAAGUUUAAAGUUUGAAAGAUGCAAUUGCAUAACUAAAAGAUGAUCCCGCGUUGUAUUAGCUAGUUGGUGAGGUAAAGGCUCACCAAGGCGAUGAUACAUAGCCGACCUGAGAGGGUGAUCGGCCACAUUGGGACUGAGACACGGCCCAAACUCCUACGGGAGGCAGCAGUAGGGAAUCUUCGGCAAUGGACGAAAGUCUGACCGAGCAACGCCGCGUGAGUGAAGAAGGUUUUCGGAUCGUAAAACUCUGUUGGUAGAGAAGAACGUUGGUGAGAGUGGAAAGCUCAUCAAGUGACGGUAACUACCCAGAAAGGGACGGCUAACUACGUG
rnacentral:rRNA from 1 species